rnacentral:rRNA from 1 species
GACGAACGCUGGCGGCGUGCUUAACACAUGCAAGUCGAACGGAAAGUCCCUGCUUUGUGGGGGUGCUCGAGUUACGAACUGGUGAGUAACACUUGGGUAACCUGCCCUUGACUUUGGGAUAACUUCAUGAAACUGGGUGUAAUAGCGGAUAGGAGCUCCUGCUGCAUGGUGGGGGUUGGAAGGUUUCGGCGGUUGGGGAUGGACUCGCGGCUUAUCAGCUUGUUGGUGUGGUAGUGGGUUACCAAGGCUUUGACGCGUAGCAGGGCUGAUAGGGUGACAUGACACAUCGGGACUGAAAUGCGGCACAGCCUCCUACGCGAGGGAGCAGUGGGGUAUAUUGCAUUAUGGGCUGAAGCAUAAUGCAGCAAAGCAGCGCGGCGUAUGACGGCAAUCGGUUUGUAAUCUGCUUUCGCCUGUCACGAAGCGUGAAUGACAGUAAUGGGUAAAGAAGCACCGGCUAACUACGUG